rnacentral:sRNA from 1 species
AUAUGUAGAUCGGAGUUCAAGGGGGGCGACUCACUCCAUUUCCUAUAAGGAAAGGAGGUGAGAUUAUGACAGUAUACGAAAGCUUAAUGAUUAUGAUAGCUUUUGCAUCUUUGAUAAUUUCGGUAUUGUCAUUCAACCGUAAGAAAUAACCCCCCUUUGAGCUUAGUCGGCGAAAGGGUAAGGUUAUAACAACUUCCUUUAAGAGUCAACUCCUUUGAGGUCGGUCUACUAUAAGACCGUUGGUGUUGUAGCACCUUCG